AGUGAACGCUGGCGGUAGGCCUAACACAUGCAAGUCGAACGGCAGCACAGUAAGAGCUUGCUCUUACGGGUGGCGAGUGGCGGACGGGUGAGGAAUACAUCGGAAUCUACUUUUUCGUGGGGGAUAACGUAGGGAAACUUACGCUAAUACCGCAUACGACCUACGGGUGAAAGCAGGGGAUCUUCGGACCUUGCGCGAUUGAAUGAGCCGAUGUCGGAUUAGCUAGUUGGCGGGGUAAAGGCCCACCAAGGCGACGAUCCGUAGCUGGUCUGAGAGGAUGAUCAGCCACACUGGAACUGAGACACGGUCCAGACUCCUACGGGAGGCAGCAGUGGGGAAUAUUGGACAAUGGGCGCAAGCCUGAUCCAGCCAUACCGCGGGGGUGAAGAAGGCCUUCGGGUUGUAAAGCCCUUUUGUUGGGAAAGAAAAGCAGCAGGUUAAUACCCCGCUGUUCUGACGGUACCCAAAGAAUAAGCACCGGCUAACUUCGG
rnacentral:rRNA from 1 species